UACGUAGGGUGCAAGCGUUAAUCGGAAUUACUGGGCGUAAAGCGUGCGCAGGCGGUUAUGUAAGACAGUUGUGAAAUCCCCGGGCUCAACCUGGGAACUGCAUCUGUGACUGCAUAGCUAGAGUACGGUAGAGGGGGAUGGAAUUCCGCGUGUAGCAGUGGAAUGCGUAGAUAUGCGGAGGAACACCGAUGGCGAAGGCAAUCCCCUGGACCUGUACUGACGCUCAUGCACGAAAGCGUGGGGAGCAAACAGG
rnacentral:rRNA from 1 species